UACGAAGGGUGCUAGCGUUGUUCGGAAUUACUGGGCGUAAAGCGCGCGUAGGCGGCUUUUCAAGUCAGGGGUGAAAUCCCACGGCUCAACCGUGGAAUUGCCUUUGAAACUGUAAAGCUGGAGUGUCGGAGGGGAUAGCGGAAUUGCUAAUGUAGAGGUGAAAUUCGUAGAUAUUAGCAGGAACACCGGUGGCGAAGGCGGCUAUCUGGACGACAACUGACGCUGAGGCGCGAAAGCGUGGGGAUCAAACAGG
rnacentral:rRNA from 1 species